AAUGAACGUUGGCGGCAUGGAUUAGGCAUGCAAGUCGGGGGAAUCCCAGCAAUGGGGGAACCGGCGUAAGGGGCAGUAAGGCAUGGGUACCUACCUUGGGGUUCGGGAUAGCCAUCAGAGAUGGUGGGUAAUACCGGAUGACGUCGUGAGACCAAAGAUUUAUCGCCCUUAGAGGGGCCCAUGUGAUAUUAGCUAGUGGGUGGGGUAACGGCCCACCAAGGCGAAGAUGUCUAGCAGGUGUGAGAGCACGACCCGCGCCACUCGCACUGGGACACUGGCGAGACACCUACGGGUGGCUGCAGUCGAGGAUCUUCGGCAAUGAGCGCAAGCUUGACCGAGCGAUGCCGCGUGAGCGAUGAAGGCCUUCGGGUUGUAAAGCUCUUUAGUGGGGGAGAAAAGCCGCAAGGUGUGAUCUAUCCCAAAAAUAAGCACGGGCUAAGUUCGUGCCAGCAGCCGCCGUAA
rnacentral:rRNA from 1 species